rnacentral:rRNA from 1 species
AACGUAGGAGACAAACGUUAUCCGGAGUUACUGGGCGUAAAGGGCGUGCAGGCGGUCUGUUAAGUGCAGGGUGAAAGCUCCCGGCUCAACUGGGAGAGGUCCUUGCAUACUGGCGGACUUGAGGGGGGUAGAGGAAAGUGGAAUUCCCGGUGUAGUGGUGAAAUGCGCAGAUAUCAGGAGGAACACCGGUGGCGAAGGCGGUGGUCUGGGCCGGCACUGACGCUGAGGAGCGAAAGCGUGGGUAGCAAACAGG